CCUACGGGUGGCUGCAGUGAGGAAUAUUGGGCAAUGGUCGGGAGACUGAACCAGCCAAGCCGCGUGAGGGAUGAAGGUACAGAGUAUCGUAAACCUCUUUUGGCAGGGAACAAAGGCGGGGACGUGUCCCCGGAUGAGUGUACCUGAAGAAAAAGCAUCGGCUAACUCCGUGCCAGCAGCCGCGGUAAUACGGAGGAUGCGAGCGUUAUCCGGAUUGAUUGGGGUUAAAGGGUGCGCAGGCGGUCUGUUAAGGGAGCGGGCAAAGCCCGGGGGUCAACCCCGGGCCGGCCGUUGAACCGGGCAGUCUCGAGUUGGAGAGAGGUAUGCGGAAUGCGGGGUGUAGCGGUGAAAUGCAUAGAUAUCGCGCAGAACUCCGAUUGCGAAGGCAGCAUGCCGGCUCCACACUGACGCUGAGGCACGAAAGCGUGGGUAUCGAACAGGAUUAGAUACCCCAGUAGUC
rnacentral:rRNA from 1 species